GGUCGCAUGGUGUAGUUGGUUAUCACGUCAGUUUAACAGAGCUUCGAGCCCCUAGUUCGUCUGUUGGCAAGUUCCGCUGAAGGUCCUCAGUUCAAUCCUGAGUGCGAUCA